rnacentral:rRNA from 1 species
UACGUAGGGUGCAAGCGUUGUCCGGAUUUACUGGGCGUAAAGGGCGCGUAGGCGGUCAGCACAAGUCAGUUGUGAAAUCUCCGGGCUUAACUCGGAAAGGUCAACUGAUACUGUGCGACUAGAGUGCGGAAGGGGCAACUGGAAUUCUCGGUGUAGCGGUGAAAUGCGUAGAUAUCGAGAGGAACACCUGCGGCGAAGGCGGGUUGCUGGGCCGACACUGACGCUGAUGCGCGAAAGCCAGGGGAGCGAACGGG